rnacentral:lncRNA from 1 species
AUCCCUGCCGAUCCUGUUGCUGCCGCCUUCCCGCCGUGCUCGGGCUGCCCGGGACUCUAGCCGCCAGGCUUCGCGUCGCCCAGCGGCAGAUCGGGCUCCUGGGAGCCUCUCCCCUGGCCGUUUGCUCGGCCUCGGCCCCAGCUGCCCUGGGGCCUAGCCACUAGCUCCCCUGGCGCUAGCCUACCCUGUCUUGACCGCACCCUGAAGAUUUGGGAAGUCUUUCUCCAUCCCAAGAGUCGUCUCUGCAAAAGUUGGUGUCCUUCCUGGUGCUGAACCACGCUUCUGCUCAAAAUGUGUUGAGCGUCGUCUGUCUGCAAAGCACGGUGCCAGGAGCUUUGGUGGAGAAGGCAUGGGGUACAUGUGUAAAGAGUACAGGCUUUUGGUUAAACCUGAAGUCCUCCUCUACUUUCUGGGGGACCCUGGCCGUCCUUGCUGAGCCUCCGUUGACUUCUCUAAUGGGGACGGUAAUGCCUACCUGACCACAAGCUGAUGAGUAAAUGAGCUAUGAGUGCAAAGUGUGGUGCAGUUCUGGCGUGUGCCAGCCUCUCAAGUGUCAGUUUCCGUCUCAUUCCUCUUAAUCUUCACUAAAAUGGACAAGUAUUCAUUGAGCACCUAAUGCGUGUUCAGUAUGGUGGGAGAUGAGGGAUGACAGUAUUAUUUUUCUAUUUUAUAGGUUAGACAUAGAACAAAAGGUUGAGUCUAUUGCCCAUAGCCGAACUUUUCUUCAUUUUCUACUGUGGUUUAGAAGUCGGUAUAGUAAGUUAAGGGUUGUUAGAUGUGCAUUUUCACAGCUCCCAGCUUCCACUUAGGAGUAGAUAACAUAGGGGACUUUGCGAGCUGGUCUCUUUCCCUCUUAGCUUCAGAAGGGCUUCGAGGUAGCCACCACUGAAUUAGUUGAGAGACAAGGCACCCCUACGGAGGAAAUCUCAACUGCACAACCCCUACUGUGCCCCAAUUCAGCAGGAAGCAGUUAGAGCGGUGGUCAAACCUCCCCAAUAGCACUUGGGUUUUCCUGUUGAGAGGGGGUACUGAGAGACAGGACUAGUUGGAUUUCCUAGGCUGGCUAAGAAUCCCUAAGCCUAGCUGGGAAAUUGACCACGUCCACCUUUAAACACGGGGCUUGCAAUUUAGCUCACACCCGACCAAUCAGGUAGUAAAGAGAGCUCACUAAAAUGCUAAUUAGGGAAAAACAGGAGGUAAAGAAGUAGCCAAUCAUCUAUCGCCUGAGAGCACAACAGGAGGGACAAUGAUCAGGAUAUAAACCCAGGCAUUCAAGCCAGCGGUGGCUACCCUCUUUGGGUCCCCUCCCUUUGUAUGGAAGCUCUGUUUUCACUCUAUUAAAUCUUGCAAUUGCACACUUUUCUGGUACGUGUGUGUCACAGCUCAAGCUGAGCUUUCGCUCACCGUCCACCACUGCUGUCUGCCGCUGUCACAGACCCACAGCUGACUUCCAUCCCUCUGGAUCCAGCGAGGCGCCCAUUGCUGCUCCUGAUCGGGCUAAAGGCUUGCCCUUGUUCCUGCAGGGCUAAGUGCCCAGGUUCGUCCUAAUCUAGCUAAACACUAGUCACUGGGUUCCACGAUUCUCUUCCAUGACCCACAGCUUCUAAUAGAGCUAUAACACUCGCCGCUUGGCCCAAGAUUCCAUUCCUUGGAAUCCAUGAGGCCAAGAACCCCAGGUCAGAGAACACAAGACUUGCCACCAUCUCGGAAGUGGCCCGUCACCAUCUUGGAAGCGACCUGCCACCAUCUUGGGAACUUGGGGAGCAAGGACCCCCAGUAACAUAGUGACCAGGAGGAAAUUCUUCCUCUCAACAGCUAAUGCAGCAGGAUCUCUUACACCGUACCCUCCCUCACCUUGCUCUUGCUCUUCAUGGUAGAACACGUACCAUAUCUUAGCUGUACUCUAUCAACUGCGCAUCUGAAGUAAAGAGUGAAGUCUUCUUUGUUUCCAGUCAUGGAGCAACAACUUGCUAUGAUACUGGCCUUCUGUAGCUGACUCUUCUUUGUCUACCCAGGCACUCUAAUGGAACUUUAAUUCUAGCUAAAGUUAUUUUCUCAGACUCCUUUGAAGCAAGGGGCAGCCAUUUGACACACUUCAAGCCAAUGAGUUGAAUGUUGAACUUAUUGCUGAGGCUUCUAAGAAAGCAUAUAGAUGGAAGGGCUCUGCGAAUCAGAGCUCAUCUUUGCCCUACACCUGUCUUCCAGGAGGAACGUGAAGAGCUACAGCACUCAUAGUUCAGUCAUGAAACAACAAACAGGAGAACAAUGGCCUGCAUUCCAAGGAUGGCAGAGCAGAAAACUGUAAAGAGGCUGGGCAUUUGAUGGCAUUGUGGUGCCACCAGACAAGCCCUAAGCUAUCUUCCCUAAGACUUCUUGUUUUGGGUCAAAUUCCUGUUUAAGCCAGGAAGUUUUCACAACCUUCACCACCCAGUCCUGCAGCUGUUGUCUCAUGCUUGUGACUCAGACUUCCAGGAAUCCUUUAGAAGUGAUGUGGUGAUCUCGUUUGGCACUAUGCAAUGUACACUAUUAAUGAAGAUAAGAACUGGAAAUGUCAAAGAACAAUUGCCCAGCUCAGUUACCAUCUGCUACUAAAGAUAGCCCCAGCUGGGUGCGAUGGCUCACACCUGUAAUCCCAACACUUUGGGAGGCUGAGGCAGGUGGAUCACCUGAGGUCAGGAAUUCAAGACCAGCCUGGCCAACAUGGUGAAACCCCAUCUCUACUAAAAAUACAAAAAAUUAGCUAGGUGUGGUGGUGCAUGCCUGUAAUCCCAGCCACUAGGGAGGCUAAGGCAGGAGAAUUGCUUGAACUCUGGCAGCAGAGGUUGCAGUGAGCUGAGAUUGUGCCACUGCACUCCAGCCUGGUCGACAGAGUGAGACUCAGUCUCAAAAAAAAAAAGCCCGUAAUGAGAACUCUCAAGAGUACCAUGGUAAUAUAAUAUGGUAAUAGAUAAUAAAAGAGUCAUGAUCAUUAAUAAUAAAUAUAAUACUUCUACUUCAACUGAGGAAUGGAAAACUAAACAUCAUAUGUUCUCAUAUGUCCCUAAGCUAUGAGGAUGCAAAGGCAUAAGAAUGAUACAAUGGACUUUGGGGACUUUCAGGGAAAGGGUGAGAAGGGCGUAAGGGAUAAAAGACUACAAAUUGGGUUCAGUAUAUACUGCUCGGGUGAUGGGUGCACCAAAAUCUUAAAAAUCGCCAAAGAACUUAUGUAACUAAAUACCACCUGUUC